CUGGGAACUCUAAAUUCUAUAGGCACUACAGACCAGAGGUGGCAGGGAUCCUGCGGGCAUUGACACGCCAAAGAUCAGAUAGCAUGGUUUCCACUGGAGAGUGAAGCCCAACCAGGAGUGAGAACAGGCUGACUUGCAGAGCUCAUUGGCAUUUCCUAGUUUGAAAUGAAAUAGGCAGGCAGCCUACUAAAGUCUUGCUUGAUCUGAAUUAGCGGAUGAGCUGUGGGACUAGUGAAUGAGUUCAGAGCUGGAUGACCAACACAGAGUCAUUGCACCUCGAUCACAUCCUACACUUGAGCCUUCGAUGAAAGGAGGGGCUGGGAUCCUUGGAGCAAACCAAAAGCAAUACCACAUUCCUGGAGGGAUUGCGGAGAUUGGUGCCACCAACAAGACUUGAAAGAUGCCAAAGGAGUGAGUCUCACCACAACCCCAUCAACUUGCCUAUCUGGACUGUGCAGAAGACAGAGGGAUCUGGGAGGAGGACAGUGGAUCAUUGUAGACAUAUGCACAACCUUCACUACAACCCAUAUUAGAACAUUGUCAUCACCUGACAAAGAACCCCCGGAGGAUUCUGGGGAGAUGGCAGAGCGGGAGGCGCAAGGAAUCUG